rnacentral:rRNA from 1 species
UUUGGUGGUCAUAGCACGAGCAAAACACCCGGCUCCAUUCCGAACCCGGCCGUUAAGUGCCGUCGCGCCAAUGGUACUGCGUCUUAAGACGUGGGAGAGUAGGUCACCGCCAAACCUAGCAAAAACCUCAAAACAGUGUCUCUCACAAACGAUGA